rnacentral:rRNA from 1 species
GAUGAACGCUGGCGGCGUGCCUAAUACAUGCAAGUCGAGCGGACGGACGAGGAGCUUGCUUCUCUGAUGUUAGCGGCGGACGGGUGAGUAACACGUGGAUAACCUACCUAUAAGACUGGGAUCACUUCGGGAAACCGGAGCUAAUACCGGAUAAUAUUUUGAACCGCAUGGUUCAAAAGAGAAAGUCGGUCUUGCUGGCACUUAUCGCUGGAUCCGCGCUGCAUUAGCUGGUUGGUAAGGUAACGGCUUACCAAGGCAACGAUGCAUAGCCGACCUGAGUGGGUGGUCGGCCACACUGGAACUUGGACAGCGUCCUUACUCCUACGGUACGCCGCAGUAGCGUAUCUGCCGCAGUGGGCGGAAGCCUUACGGAGCGGCGCCGCGUGUGUUAUGGAGGUCUUCCGAGCGUAAUACUCUGUUUCUAGUGGUGAACAUAUUUGUAAGGAACUGAGCACAUCUUGACGGUACCUAGUAAGAAAGCCACGGCUAACUACGUG